rnacentral:rRNA from 1 species
UACGUAGGCAGCGAGCGUUGUUCGGAAUUACUGGGCGUAAAGAGUGUGUAGGCGGUGCUCUAAGUUCGGUGUGAAAUCUCCUGCUUAACUGGGAGGGUGCGCCGGAAACUGGAGUGCUUGAGUGUGGGAGAGGAAAGCGGAAUUCCUGGUGUAGCGGUGAAAUGCGUAGAUAUCUGGAGGAACACCGGUGGCGAAGGCGGCAUCCUGGACCGGUAUUGACGCUGAGGCGCGAAAGCUAGGGGAGCAAACGGG